CCAUAGAGUUUGAUCCUGGCUCAGGACGAACGCUGGCGGCGUGCUUAACACAUGCAAGUCGAACGGAAAGGCCCUUCGGGGUGCUCGAGUGGCGAACGGGUGAGUAACACGUGGGUGAUCUGCCCUGCACUUUGGGAUAAAGCCUGGGAAACUGGGUCUAAUACCGAAUAGGACCCCGGCCUUCAUGGGUUGUGGUGGAAAGCUUUUGCGGUGUGGGAUGGGCCCGCGGCCUAUCAGCUUGUUGGUGGGGUAAUGGCCUACCAAGGCGACGACGGGUAGCCGGCCUGAGAGGGUGACCGGCCACACUGGGACUGAGAUACGGCCCAGACUCCUACGGGAGGCAGCAGUGGGGAAUAUUGCACAAUGGGCGCAAGCCUGAUGCAGCGACGCCGCGUGGGGGAUGACGGCCUUCGGGUUGUAAACCUCUUUCAGCACAGACGAAGCGUGAGUGACGGUAUGUGCAGAAGAAGCACCGGCCAACUACGUGCCAGCAGCCGCGGUAAUACGUAGGGUGCGAGCGUUGUCCGGAAUUACUGGGCGUAAAGAGCUCGUAGGUGGUUUGUCGCGUUGUUCGUGAAAACUCACAGCUUAACUGUGGGCGUGCGGGCGAUACGGGCAGACUGGAGUACUGCAGGGGAGACUGGAAUUCCUGGUGUAGCGGUGGAAUGCGCAGAUAUCAGGAGGAACACCGGUGGCGAAGGCGGGUCUCUGGGCAGUAACUGACGCUGAGGAGCGAAAGCGUGGGGAGCGAACAGGAUUAGAUACCCUGGUAGUCCACGCCGUAAACGGUGGGUACUAGGUGUGGGUUUCCUUCCUUGGGAUUCCGUGCCGUAGCUAACGCAUUAAGUACCCCGCCUGGGGAGUACGGCCGCAAGGCUAAAACUCAAAGGAAUUGACGGGGGCCCGCACAAGCGGCGGAGCAUGUGGAUUAAUUCGAUGCAACGCGAAGAACCUUACCUGGGUUUGACAUGCACAGGACGCCGGCAGAGAUGUCGGUUCCCUUGUGGUCUGUGUGCAGGUGGUGCAUGGCUGUCGUCAGCUCGUGUCGUGAGAUGUUGGGUUAAGUCCCGCAACGAGCGCAACCCUUGUCCUAUGUUGCCAGCGGGUUAUGCCGGGGACUCGUAGGAGACUGCCGGGGUCAACUCGGAGGAAGGUGGGGAUGACGUCAAGUCAUCAUGCCCCUUAUGUCCAGGGCUUCACACAUGCUACAAAUGGCCGGUACAAAGGGCUGCGAUUACCGUGAGGUGGAGCGAAUCCCUUUCAAAGCCCGGUCUCAGUUCCGGAUCGGGGGUCUGCAACUCGACCCCGUGAAGUCGGGAGUCGCUAGUAAUCGCAGAUCAGCAAACGCUGCGGUGAAUACGUUCCCGGGCCCUUGUACACACCGCCCCGUCACGUCAUGAAAGUCGGGAACACCCCGGAAGCCCGGGUGCCUAACCCCUUGGGGAAGGGAGGCCGUCGAAGGUGGGGAUCCGCCGAUGGGGAACGAAGUCGUAACAAGGGUAAACCAUGGGGU
rnacentral:rRNA from 1 species